rnacentral:rRNA from 1 species
AUUGAACGCUGGCGGCAGGCCUAACACAUGCAAGUCGAACGAGUGGCGGACGGGUGAGUAAUGUCUGGGAAACUGCCAGAUGGUGGGGGAUAACUACUGGAUACGGUAGCUACUACCGCAUACCAUCAGAUCUGCCCAGAUGGGAUUAGCUAGUUGGUGGGGUAACGGCGCACUAAGGCGACGAUCCCUAGCUGGUCUGAGAGGAUGACGAGCGACGCGUGAGAUGUGUCACUGUCAAGAAUCCUAUGGGAGGCAGCAGGGGGGAAUAUUGCACAACGGGCGAAGGCCAGAAGCAGCGAAGCCGCGUGGAUGAAGAGGGACAAAGGGUUUCAUAGUACUUUCAGCUUUGAGGGGUUACACGUAGAAGAAGAACCGGGUAACGCCGUGCUAGCAGCCGCGGUAAUAC